CCUCAUACUAAGUCUUUCC
rnacentral:miRNA from 1 species